rnacentral:lncRNA from 1 species
CUUUUUUCAUGUUUUCCUCAUCAGAAUGGCAUCCUCUCCGUAUAGUCCCAUCAGGGGUCAAGUGUGUGCUUAACCACCAAAAACACAAAACCCCUACAUUUUAUUCAAGUAGAUGAGAAAUUAGGUUGAGCACUCAAGUAAUCACUUACCUUCUACACCUGAAGACCAGUGGACAGUGCACUUCAGACUGGGCAGCCUUCGAAGAGAGUGACAUACUAUAUAAAAAACUACCACCUUGUCCUCAAGGUUUGGGGCAGGAACUUCUGUUCAUGGGUCUGAACACGAUGACCGACAAAACCCCCCCUCAAACUGACCUUUGAUGCAGAGAAGAUGGUCAAAGACACCCUGAUUCCUCCAUCUGUCUCCAUCUUCAAGAGGAGGCCACUUAACUCUGCAAGGAACUGUGGAACAUGUGAGUGACUUAAACUGAAUUAUCAAACACUGUCCUGAACAUUAUUAAUAUUUAACUACUGAUAUUUUAAUUUAAUGAUGUCUCCUAUUUUGUUUCUAUAUUUUGCCACGGGAUUUACCACAAGCUCCAGUCUGGAUCCAGAACACCUGAGAAGAGAUGAUGCUAACACUGAAUCAACAAACAGAACUAACAAUUAUUGCUAAAUGUGUGACUGAAUCAUAUAAUAACUUAAUUAUUAAUAUUGAUAGUUCAUCAUCUAUCUGACUACAUCUUGUAUUAUUAUUAUUUUUAUUAUUAUUAUUUUUUCUACAAACCUUGUCAAACGUGCACAAACUACUAGCUACUACUAAAUACUGUAGAAACAUAAUUUUCUGUUAACUUUGUAACAAUUUGUAUUGUAAAAAGCGCUAUACAAAAACUUGAAUUGAAUUCACCAUAACUUUAUAGAUGCAGGUUCCAAGGAUGACGACUGUGAGGGACACAUCUUGGACGUGGGGGAUCAGAAGAGGCUCCAGAAUCCUUGAGGUGUCCUUAUGGCGGGACCAGGCCUCGUCAAUGAUAAAGUUCACAUAUGUCACCUCCGAGCAAACGCCAAGGCUACUAAGUUAAACUCACCCAUCCACACAACUGUAGAGGUUCUGGAGCAAGGACCAGUGGUGGAGAACAUGGUGGUGAUUUGCUUUGUUGAAGCUAAUGUUGAGCUCUUGUUGCUCGCUGAGGACUUCAGUGAAUACACAGCACUUCCUGAACUGACUGAUAAGAGUCUAGAAGAUCUUCUGUGCAGCUUCCACUUCAUUCAGAACUACAAAAAGUGAGGAUGAUGCUCAUCAAUUCCCAUUUUAAAUCUACAGCUGCUGUGUGAUCCUGAUCCUCUUGAUAUCUUCUUGUGGAAAGAUGAAGCUCUCUGUGUCUUACACAUUAGAGAUGACGUAGAGAUCACCAACAUUUAUAGUGACAAAGGUGCCUCGAGGAAGAGGGAGUUUUCAUUCCUCUCAGUACACAACUGUCAAAGGUAAUCAUUAUAAAAAGUGAAAGACACACUGUAAAUCUGUCUAUCUAUCUAACACACAAGAAAAAAUUAUACACUCCUAUCAUACAAAUCUUUAAUAAAAUCACACACUUACUAACAACAAACAACAUUACACAUACCAAGAUGUUUGGUGUAAUAACAUUGACUUUUUUUCUUAUUUUCUUUUACAGAUUAAGCAGACGCCGCGUACAAAACAGAAGACACCUACACUCUUCUCGACACUGACGACGAAGUCUACAGUUUCUGCAGAGUUCUACGCUGGGAACGUCACCAGUUUCAUUGACGAAUUACCCAUGAAGAUUCUUGUGGAACAUAACAACCUCCGAAUCGUUGGUCACAACACCACCUUAAGCUUCUCCUCUUAACCUGGACUCCUAUCAUUGUUCCUGUCAUGUCCAUUUAUUUGGUAAUACUUUCCACUUUUUAAAAAACACCUUUCAUGUCCAUUUAUUGCUUUUAACCUCUGUACAUAUCUAAAAAUGUAUAUUAUAUUAAAACUACUUUUUGGCAACAAUUCU